rnacentral:rRNA from 1 species
UACGUAGGAUGCAAGCGUUAUCCGGAUUCACUGGGUUUAAAGGGUGCGUAGGUGGAAAUGUAAGUCAAAGGUGAAAGCCUGCAGCCUAACUGCAGAAGUGCCUUUGAUACUGCAAUUCUUGAGUACAGUUGAGGUAGGCGGAAUGUGUAGUGUAGCGGUGAAAUGCUUAGAUAUUACACAGAACACCGAUUGCGAAGGCAGCUUACUAAGCUGUAACUGACACUGAGGCACGAAAGCGUGGGGAU